AGGACGAACGCUGGCGGCGUGCUUAACACAUGCAAGUCGAGCGGAAAGGCCCUUCGGGGUACUCGAGCGGCGAACGGGUGAGUAACACGUGAGUAAUCUGCCCCUAGCUCUGGGAUAGCUCCGGGAAACCGGGAUUAAUACCGGAUACGACCACUUUAGACAUCUGUUGUGGUGGAAAGAAUUUUUGGCUAGGGAUGAGCUCGCGGCCUAUCAGCUUGUUGGUGGGGUAACGGCCUACCAAGGCGACGACGGGUA
rnacentral:rRNA from 1 species